rnacentral:rRNA from 1 species
GACGAAUGCUGGCGGCGUGCCUAAUACAUGCAAGUUGAGCGAUGAAGAUUGGUGCUUGCACCAAUUUGAAGAGCAGCGAACGGGUGAGUAACGCGUGGGGAAUCUGCCUUUGAGCGGGGGACAACAUUUGGAAACGAAUGCUAAUACCGCAUAACAACUUUAAACAUAAGUUUUAAGUUUGAAAGAUGCAAUUGCAUCACUCAAAGAUGAUCCCGGGUUGUAUUAGCUAGUUGGUGAGGUAAAGGCUCACCAAGGCGAUGAUAAAUAGCCGACCUGAGAGGGUGAUCGGCCACAUUGGGACUGAGACACGGCCCAAACUCCUACGGGAGGCAGCAGUAGGGAAUCUUCGGCAAUGGACGAAAGUCUGACCGAGCAACGCCGCGUGAGUGAAGAAGGUUUUCGGAUCGUAAAACUCUGUUGGUAGAGAAGAACGUUGGUGAGAGUGGAAAGCUCAUCAAGUGACGGUAACUACCCAGAAAGGGACGGCUAACUACGUGCCAGCCGCCGCGGUAA